GAUGAAGAACGUAGCGAAAUGCGAUACUUGGUGUGAAUUGCAGAAUCCCGUGAACCAUCGAGUCUUUGAACGCAAGUUGCGCCCGAAGCCAUUAGGCCGAGGGCACGCCUGCCUGGGCGUCACACGUCGUUGCCCCCCCAUCUACUCCUUCGGGAUUGCGGGGGGCGGAUGAUGGCCUCUCGUGCGCCUCGUCGCGCGGUUGGCCUAAAUGCCAAGUCCUCGGCGACGCACGCCACGACAAUCGGUGGUUGCGAAACCUCGGUUGCCUGUCGUGUGCGGUCGUCGCGCAUCGAGGGCUCGAAAAAAUUGCCGGGUUCCGGCUCGGCUUUCAACGCGACCCCAGGUCAGGCGGGGUUACCCGCUGAAUUUAAGCAUAUCAAUAGCGGAGGA
rnacentral:misc_RNA from 1 species